UGAAUGAGAGUAGUUUAUUCAUGUUCUGUACACUUUCUUUCAAUUUGAUUUUCAGUUUAGAUCUGAUUUGCUUUUGCAUUUGAUUUUUGUUCUUGGUCUAAUUGUAUUUGAUUUUAAUUUUUGGUAAAGUUUGAAUUUGAAGGGUUCAUGCCCUAGCUCUGUAGAAUUGCAGAAUCUGAAAAGCAUAUCAAUCAAAUUUGUUAUUCAUUGUAUGAACUGUAUGAUGAUUAUGUCGUUGCUCAUGCUUCAAGUAAUAUUGGAACUAGUGAUUCUCAAGUGGGGAGGAGAUCUUCUAAUAGUCCUAUAACUAGUUGCAAUACAAAAGGAAAAACUAAGAGCAGGUUAGAGUUUGAUAUAUGAGCACACGAGUUGGAAACUAUUGAACCAAGCAAAUCUGAUUUGGACAUAUAUUUGGAAGAAGGCUUUUACAUUUUUAAAGGGAAUUUAGAUGUUGAUUUUGAUGCUUUAGAUUGGUGGAAGGCAAACACUCUCAAGUUUCGCAUUCUAUCAAACAUGGUACGUGACCAAUAUAUCAAUUCCUAUCAGCACUGUAGCUUCUGAAUCUGCUUUUAUACUGGGGGACGAGUUCUAGAUCAAUAUCGAUGCUCUUUGAAAUCGGAAACAGUGCAAGCUCUAAUUUGUGCAGGGGAUUGGCUACGUUCUAAUUUUGGAGUGAAUAAACCAUUGGAGAGUGACAGAGAGUGCAUGCAAGAAGUAUGCUUAGUAGUUCUGAUGCUACUGCUGAGCAUGAAAGCUAAGAGGAGACUUUAAUUCUAGAAGCCUAUUUCUUGCUUUCUUUGAUUUUUUUCCCCCCAUGGGAGGUGAUGCUUUUGGUGUUGGACGGACUAUAUUUGCAUUUAGGUAAGAAAUAUCCUAUUUUUUUUCUAUUUUGCUUUUUUAUUUUUUAUUUAUUUAUUUAUUUCAUCUUGUUUUCCUACCCUUGAUUAGCAUGACAUUUCUAUGAAAAGAGUAUAGUUGCCAUUCCUGGGAUUGAGGUAUGGUGCCCAUUAUGUGUUUGGUAUUUUGUGUGAUUGAAAAGAUUAUGUAUGUUGCUUGCCAUUCAUUGAUUGAGCCUAAGCCAAUGGUUUUGAAUAUGUUUAUUUGAUUUCUUAGUUAUUGAUUUCUUUUUUUCCUUUUUAUAUUUUUUAUUUUUUUUAUGUUGCUACAGCAUAUUUUAGACAACAAAAGAGGGUCCUCUAAUGUUAUGGCUGGUUCUUGCCGGUGAGAAACCAAUUCUUUUUUUUUUUUUUUGGUGAAGAAAUUGAAAU